rnacentral:misc_RNA from 1 species
CGAACGCAGUUCAAUGUCAAUUCAUCGUGAUGGUGAACACAAUGGCCUCUCGCUCGAUUCCGUGACGGUGAUUCGAUGAACGAAGAAUUUUUAUAGAAUUGCCGUUUUCCUCUCGCGCGUUUAAAGAAAUUCUCUGUCAGCGAACUACGCUGUUCGGUUGUGAUCCCUUGGGUAGCAUCGUAAUCCUUGAUUGGGCUCGAGGUCGCGUCGACAUCGGGGGCUUAAGCUGCGCGCUCGUUCCAGUCUCGUCACUGCUAGCGAUUGCGUUGCGAAGUACAAUGGCCGAUAUGGAAGGGAAGAGGCUGACCGAGCUCCGGGUGAUAGACCUCAAGACGGAGCUAGAACGUCGCGGCCUGGACAAAACCGGCAACAAGGCAGCGCUUCUCGAGCGACUCUCCAAGGCAAUACUGGAUGAAGGAGAGAAUCCGGAGGAAUAUCUUAUUAUACCAUCCGGUGGACAGUCUAAAGUCAUUCCAAGAAAGAAUAGUGGAACUUUGAGUCAAGAAGAUUCUACUGAGUGCUCUGAUAAUCAGAAGGAAGAAAAUGUCGAUGGACAGGAUAAUAUAAAUAAAUAUAAGAUAGAGAUAAAGACAGAAGAACUUGAUGAGAAAGAAAUUACUAUCAAGAAAGAAGUAAAAGAAGAAACAGAGUGCCCUGAAGUUAAGGAUUUUGUUAUUAAGGUGGAAAGAUUGGACGACAAAAUGCAAGGAGUUAAGACAGUGGAUGAAAAUGCACAAAACAACGAUAAGAGUGAGGCAGAGAAAACUGUAACAAAUCAAAUCUCAGAUGCACCAUCUACUACUGUUGAAGCUAAUGGAAUUGACAAUGAGGAUUCUAUUAACUUAACUAUUGGGGAAGAUGAAGAGAAUCUUUUAGCGGAAGAGACAGAGUCUCAUGACAGGCACAAAGAUGGUGGAGAGAAGAAGAAAGUGGAAGAAAACAAGAAGGGAGACUCUAAAGGCAGCGGUAGAGCGGAUCCUGGCACCAGCAGCAAGGAAGGGACGACGUCUGGCGUGAACGGGACGAAGAUCAAGCAGGAGGGUGGAGAUGGAGGAAGCAAGAGUGUGGAGUCUAGCAAUAAGAGUCAGAAAAGAGAAGAAAAAGAUAAAAAGAUAUCUCAGGUCAAUCCAACCAAUGCAAGCAGUCGCAAUUUAUGGGUAUCCGGUUUAUCAUCCAGUACUCGUGCGACCGAUCUGAAGCAAAUCUUCUCAAAGUAUGGCAAGGUCAUAGGUGCAAAAGUGGUGACGAAUGCAAGAACUCCCGGAGCGAGAUGUUACGGUUACGUAACUAUGUCUUCAAGCGAAGAUGCUGCUAAAUGUAUACAGCAUCUACAUAGAACUGAGCUGCAUGGACGUGUCAUAUCUGUCGAAAAGGCGAAAGGUGAUACGCAGCAAAGUCAUGUACGUAAACGUGAUACAGUUAAUGGUAAAUCAGAGAAGAAAGAGGAGAAAGAAAAGCCGAAAGAUCACGAUAUAAAUGAAAGAAAAGAAAAGGAAAUAAAGAAAGAAUUUGAGGAAAAAGGAUCAGAUGCUGCAAAAAAAUCUGAUGAUAAAAGUGAAAACACUGAAGUAAAAGUAAAAAUUGAGAUGCAAGACAAAAAAGAAGAUGCACCUAAAGAGUCAGACUCUCGAUCGAUAAAAUCUACUAGCAAGAAACCGGAGAGCGAAAGAGGACGACGAGAAGAAAAACGAAUGCGUACUUGGGACAGAGACCAUCGAUCUCAUAGUCGAUCCCGGAGUCGUGAACGACGAAAGCGCGAUGAUGUUCUCACAUUUGCUAAAAUCAGAGAGGAACGUGAGCGGCAGAGAUUGCGCGAAAGGGAACGGAUGCUGAGGGAGGAAGAGCGAAGAAGAAGAGAAGACAUGGAACGUCAACGAGAGAUAGAGCGCAGACACCGAGAAGAGGCUGCACGCUUGGAGAGAGAACGUGAGAAGCUGAGACGAGAAAGAGAACGAAUCGAACAGGAAAAGGCUGAGUUACUACGACUCGAGCGUGAACGACAGAAGCUCGAAAGGGAAAAGCUCGAGCGCGAGAGACUAGAGUUGAAGAGACAGCAGAUGCGUUUAGAGGAAAGCCGACGUGCACCACCGCCACCAUCCAUCAAGAGAUCGUCCACCGAUAGAAGAGAUCCGCGAGAUUUGUAUGUGGAAUCUGACAGGAAACGGAUAGCUACAGAGCAUAGUCGCAGACAUAGCCCGGAUAGAAUAGUCGAUAGACGCAAUGAGAUGCUAGAUCGGGUGUCAGAUAGACGAUUGGAUCCUUCGCCACCAUCUCGAUACGAGUCCAGCAGAUCAACUCAAGAAUUGGGAUUGAAAAAGGAAUUCAAAAGAAGUAGCGAUUUCUCUUCAAGGAACAGUCGACCAGAUAGCUUUUCCGAUGUUUCUCGGGGAAGAGAAGUUAUCGUACGACGAGAAAGUUUGUCCACCACAUCCUCGUCCAUAGAUCCUCGACAAGUGAAGGAAAGAUAUGAUCGUCCAAAUACCACAUCUUAUACACGCGAACGCGAAGUACGACGUUCCGAUCCCGAGACGCAUCGAAGCUCUAGAGAUACUCAUACGCGAUUCAGCGAUAGUUUUAAACCUCCGACAUCUAGUACGCCCCGUGAAAGUCGUUAUGUGGAGAGCAAUCGUACACCCAGCAGUUGGCAUUCGGGACCUACAUCCUCGAAAUCUUUUAAUUCUGUAACGGGGAGCAGCGGAUCCCGCGAUCCCCGCAACGAACCUUCUAGCUGGAGUUCUAGAUCGUCCGAUAGUGUUAACAGAUGGAGUAACUCGAGCAGCAUGGGAAACACUCUACGGUAUCCGAUUCCGCCAACUUAUCAAAGCGGACCGAUGCAAUCUACGGGACUGUCCGCGCCCGGGACGGCACCGUCGUACGAGCGGUUCGAGGCGUACAAAUCGUCCAUGCCUAUGAGAAAAUAUUGAUUAUCGGACUGCGCGAACUUUCGCGAUCCGUUCAAGUAAACCGGAACACUCACGGGGAGUUCUUAUAACUCCUUAAGCUUGAUUGAUCAAAGGAAUCACCUACACAUUCUAUCGACAUCACUCGAUUCACUGCAGUCGAAUAAAGGGUCAAUUUUAUAUAAAAUUCAUAUUGUGCAUAAUAAUGUCCAAGAAGAGGCACUUUCAUAAUUUGCAAUUAUGGAUGUUCUCUUGUCUUUUUUUUUUUUUUUUGUAUAUGUGUCCAUUCAGCAUGAUGUAUACAUAUGGUGGAUACAUUUCUAAACUAUUCGUAUCUAACUGAUUUUUGUACAUGUGUUAAUAGAUCACUGAAGUGUCCCUGUGAGAUAAGAUGCGAUUUAUUUUCUUAUCGGUUUGUAAAUUGCGCGCCAUCCGUUUGUUCUGCAAACGUUGAUUGGUCGGUUAUUGUCAUCCGAGAAAUGUUUGACUUUAAAGCGAGAGGGACGUAGAGGCUAUAAGUGCACCUGUUUAUCUUAAACGAGUUUGUUUUAAUAGAAUAUAAUAAAACGAACGAAAAGUGUAUGACAAAGGAUAUUGUAUUGCAUAAUUCUCUUAUAUUCGUCGGGGAGAAGCAUUUUUUUCUCUUACUUGAUCAGAGUAUGAUUGGGAUCCACAUAUUGGAUCCUGGCAUCGCGGAAGACAAAUUGUACGUGUUAAAUAACGCGGUAGCUAUGCCUACUUUAUACAGCGAAAACGCGAAUGAACUUGAUGUAACGACAAUUGUCACAGUAACAUGAAUAAAUUUAGGAAACAUUAA